AUUGAACGCUGGCGGCAUGCCUUACACAUGCAAGUCGAACGGCAGCACGGGGGCAACCCUGGUGGCGAGUGGCGAACGGGUGAGUAAUGCAUCGGAACGUACCCGGAAGUGGGGGAUAACGUAGCGAAAGUUACGCUAAUACCGCAUAUUCUGUGAGCAGGAAAGAGGGGGAUCGCAAGACCUCUCGCUUUCGGAGCGGCCGAUGUCGGAUUAGCUAGUUGGUGGGGUAAAGGCAUACCAAGGCGACGAUACGUAGCGGGUCUGAGAGGAUGAUCGGCCACACUCGGACGGGGACACGGCCCAGAGUCGUACGGGAGGCAGCAGUGGGGAAUUUUGGGCAAUGGGGGCAACCCUGAUCCAGCCAUGGCGCGUGAGUGAAGAAGGCCGUCGGGUUGUAAAGCUCGUUCGGCCGGGACGAAAUCGCACUCUCUAAUACGGGGUGUGGAUGACGGUACCGGAAUAAGAAGCACCGGCUAACUACGUGCCAGCCGCCGCGGUAACAC
rnacentral:rRNA from 1 species